AUCAUUUAAUAAAAUAAGUUUGUAUUUAUUGCUGAAUGAGCUAUUUUUAUAAAAUAGUAUAAGUAACAAUAUUAUUUUCAUUGGGUAUUAGUAGUGCUGACAUCAAAAGUGAAUUUUGAAGCUCAAGUGAAGGAUAAAUCUGAGAAGGCGAAUCUGGGGUUGAACUUGGCAUGGAGAGGCAUUUUUAAUAAUGCUAAGGUAGACUUUCCAGCUAAAUGUAAAUGGUUUAAAGCUUGCGAAAGGGCUGUACUGUGUCACGGAGCUCAGGUAUGGGAUUACAGGCAUAUUACAAUGUAAGUUACUAGAUGUUUGUAAUUUGUUUAAGUUCGUUUUAUUUGUAUUCUCUGAGUUGUUACUAUCGCAUUAGGUAUGAUUUUCAUGGGAGAACAUUGUGUUGGUUAUUUUAUUUGAUUAAUAUAUAUGAGCUUUUGUUCGGAAUUAAUAAAAUUUGAUUUUUAGAUAAUAAUUUGUUCUACGCAUUUUCAAGAUUUGUGUUUGACUGAAAAAAAAAUUAUUAUUGAAUUUUUCCGGCUAGCAAUUGUUCAAUCAAGCUGUAAAUUGUAUGAGUUUUCAUAUAUAUAUAUAUAUAUAUUGUAUUGUGUAAUCUUGAAUAAUAAAGCAUUCUUUCUAUUUAUUCUAUUCUAUUAUCAAUAAUGCAAAAGUUUUCGCUAAUGUGCGAUGCACAAAUUUUCUGUCCUAAUGUCAGUACAACCAGUUUGAAAAAGCAAAGCAAAUCUCAGUAUAGUGAUAUGUAAUUUUUGAAUAGAAUGAUUUAUCAUUCAAACCUAUUUGUAUACAUUAUUAGAAAUUUAAAAGCCUAGAGAUUGCAAUAAAAAUUCAAGUAAAAUUUGAGUUGACAGGUUGUUGAGGAAGCUAAAAAACUUUGAAAUUCGAUAAAUUGGAAGAAAUUAAUGUGAAAUAGUGGGAAGUAAUUUUAGCCAAUAAACCUCACGUGUUAAUUUCAGCAGAACUUACAUAAUAAUGAAACAGGAAAGAAUAAAAAAUCUUAAAUUAUGUAUAAUAUGUAACUUGAGACAAAAAUUACCGCUUCCCAUGCUUGAAUCUGUAUAAUCAGAAUGCUUGAAUCUUAAUAUUCAUUGAAGUGAUUUGAAACAAUUUUUCUUCAUCACAAUAUAUGGGCAAUGCUCAACCAUUUGCAUCAGGCAAAUGCCUAAAAUUGCAUGAUGUCCCAUAAUUUAAAAUGUCAAUAGUCAAGAAAUCACAUUGAAUCAUGAAAUAGUUAACAUAUUUCAAGAAAUUAUUUCGAUCCUCAAAGCUUUUCAAUUACUUGAUAAUAGGAGUAAAAUGAAUGCUUUGAUUACUGCGACCUUCCUUGGUGAACGGGUCCGACCACAUUAUGACAGAGAUGUUCUUGAGAAUUGAAUAGGUUCCUGGAUUCAUGGAUUUGAUAGCUUUUACCACAGCUAAACAGUCGGCAAGUUGAUUUCACCUCCUUCUUC